CCUGGGAUGGUGCUGUGUGUGAGGGAGGGAUCCUUCUUUGGUGUGAAGGAGUUCAGAUCAAGAGAUCCAAUUCUGCCUACUACAGAGAUCAGUCUGAGUUGCCAAGUGAAACAAAAAUCUUUACCAAGCUCAAGUUUUCCCAUACAGAUCCAGAGAAACUUAGGACCUUCACUUACUGUCACCAGGAUCAGAAACUGACUUCAACAAAAUAGAUAAUGUGUUGAAUGAAGAGGAAGCUAUCACUAACCUUCCAGAGAUCAAAGCAACUGAGCAAAGCCCAAGAGACAUAGUGCAGGAGGAUCAGAGGAGAAGAUGAUGUUAAAGAAAUAAA